rnacentral:rRNA from 1 species
AGCGAACGCUGGCGGCAGGCCUAACACAUGCGAGUCGAACGAACUCUUCGGAGUUAGUGGCGGACGGGUGAGUAACACGUGGGAACGUGCCUUUAGGUUCGGAAUAACUCAGGGAAACUUGUGCUAAUACCGAAUGUGCCCUUCGGGGGAAAGAUUUAUCGCCUUUAGAGCGGCCCGCGUCUGAUUAGCUAGUUGGUUGGGGUAAUGGCCCACCAAGGCGACGAUCAGUAGCUGGUCUGAGAGGAUGACCAGCCACAUUGGGACUGAGACACGGCCCAAACUCCUACGGGAGGCAGCAGUGGGGAAUCUUGCGCAAUGGGCGAAAGCCUGACGCAGCCAUGCCGCGUGUAUGAUGAAGGUCUUAGGAUUGUAAAAUACUUUCACCGGUGAAGAUAAUGACUGUAGCCGGAGAAGAAGCCCCGGCUAACUUCGUGCCAGCCGCCGCUGUAACAC